GGCGAGAUAGUUUAAUGGGUAAAGAACACCACCGGAAGGGUGGAGGCGCAAGUUCGACACUUGCCUCGCCAACA
rnacentral:tRNA from 1 species